UACGUAGGGGGCAAGCGUUGUCCGGAUUUAUUGGGCGUAAAGAGCUCGUAGGCGGCUUGGCAAGUCGGGUGUGAAAACUCCAGGCUCAACCUGGAGAUGCCACUCGAGACUGCUAUGGCUAGAGUCCGGUAGGGGACCACGGAAUUCCUGGUGUAGCGGUGAAAUGCGCAGAUAUCAGGAGGAACACCGGUGGCGAAGGCGGUGGUCUGGGCCGGCACUGACGCUGAAGCGCGAAAGCGUGGGUAGCGAACAGG
rnacentral:rRNA from 1 species